rnacentral:rRNA from 1 species
CCUACGGGUGGCUGCAGUGAGGAAUAUUGGUCAAUGGCCGAGAGUCUGAACCAGCCAAGUCGCGUGAAGGAAGACGGCCCUAUGGGUUGUAAACCUCUUUUGUCGGGGAGUAAAGCGAGUCACGUGUGACUCUUUGAGAGUACCCGAAGAAAAAGCAUCGGCUAACUCCGUGCCAGCAGCCGCGGUAAUACGGAGGAUGCGAGCGUUAUCCGGAUUUAUUGGGUUUAAAGGGUGCGUAGACGGGAGGUUAAGUUAGUUGUGAAAUCCCUCGGCUCAACUGAGGAACUGCAACUGAUACUGGACAUCUUGAGUGCAGGAGAGGAAGGUGGAAUUCCUAGUGUAGCGGUGAAAUGCGUAGAUAUCAGGAGGAACACCAGUGGCGAAGGCGACUUUCUAGACUGUAACUGACGUUGAGGCACGAAAGUGUGGGGAGCAAACAGGAUUAGAUACCCUAGUAGUC